rnacentral:rRNA from 1 species
CCUACGGGGGUCAGCAGUGAGGAAUAUUGGUCAAUGGUCGGGAGACUGAACCAGCCAAGCCGCGUGAGGGAUGAAGGUACAGAGUAUCGUAAACCUCUUUUGUCAGGGAACAAAGGCGGGGACGCGUCCCCGGAUGAGUGUACCUGAAGAAAAAGCAUCGGCUAACUCCGUGCCAGCAGCCGCGGUAAUACGGAGGAUGCGAGCGUUAGCCGGAUUUAUUGGGUUUAAGGGGUGCGCAGGCGGUUGGUUAAGUCAGCGGUAAAAGCCCGGGGCUCAACCCCGGACCGCCGUUGAAACUGGCAGUCUCGAGUUGGAGAGAAGUAUGCGGAAUGCGCGGUGUAGCGGUGAAAUGCAUAGAUAUCGCGCAGAACUCCGAUUGCGAAGGCAGCAUGCCGGCUCCACACUGACGCUGAGGCACGAAAGCGUGGGUAUCGAACAGGAUUAGAUACCCGGGUAGUC